rnacentral:rRNA from 1 species
UACGUAGGGUGCGAGCGUUGUCCGGAAUUACUGGGCGUAAAGAGCUCGUAGGUGGUUUGUCGCGUUGUUCGUGAAAACUCACAGCUUAACUGUGGGCGUGCGGGCGAUACGGGCAGACUGGAGUACUGCAGGGGAGACUGGAAUUCCUGGUGUAGCGGUGGAAUGCGCAGAUAUUAGGAAGAACACCGGUGGCGAAGGGCGGCAUCUGGACCCGGCAUUGGAACGCUGAGG